UCGACUGCCCCUCUCGGGCCUCUUAUUUACGGGCACUGCCAUUGAUCAUUAUUGUCUGACACUGCUUUUUGAAUUUUGAAUUAUGGCUAUCAAAUCUGUGUAAUUAUUUGACUUUUCCUCUCUAUUUUCAAAUGUCACUGCUCUGCUUUUGUUCUGUUUUCCCUCCACAAGCUUUCUUUGCUCUAGCCUCAAGCUCUCUCCGCCAUUAUUCUCAAGAUAAUAACGAAUGGAUUUUUCAGCGGGUCAGCACAACGAUACGUCUGGUUCUGAUUCUGAUGGGUUGGAUCAAACAUGGAGGUCUGCCCAGUUUAGUUUUGAUUUCCACUCCCCCCCAAAACUGCUCCUCCUCUCUCCGGUGAAGCCGUCUUCGUCUCUCAUUCUCUUCGUAGUAAACGAAUACCGUUUCUAAUGGUUUGGGGAAGAGAAACUCAUGCUGCUGAUGGGUUAUUGGGUUGUACCAUGAUUGGAAGACUGAUAAAAACGCUUUGGUUUCGUCGGUUCUGUCCGGUAAUCCUGUUCCAGCAGUUAACUUGAUCGGACCGGUCUCGCAGCCGGUUGCGGUCACUGUUCAUGCAGUACGCAGCGAAGUAGCCAGAAAUCAACGGCACACCCUCCCUGAUACAUAUGCUUGGUCUUUUGUCCGAUGAAAAUUUCCGGUUGUUAUGUCCUCCAAAUUUGACCCGGAACCUAUCGUGCAAUCUCAGAGACGUUGUCUCCCCCUAUUUCGAGUACCAAUCAAUGUGAAUCUCCUCACGCUGAAUGUUUUCCUCUUGAUCAGUUAAAGUCAAAUAUAAUUUCAAGUAUAAAAGGUAUUCGUGGGAAGAGUAAAUUGAACAGGAAAGAGACUUUUGUUGUUGAUGAAGUUAAUAAGAAACUAGCUUUUGGCCAUCAAAUGUCGGAUAGGAUCGUGGAGUAUGUAGUGGGCUAUGAGGACGUUGGUGAGAGAUUAAUUUAGAUGUUAUUAGUUCACUUUUAAUUUAUUACAACAUACCACCCACAUAACCAUCGCAGAGAAGUCCAGAAUUGUUGGUCUUGAUUACGUUAAUGCAUUCUGUUUCGUGAUGAUGAUACUAAUGAUGAUGAAUAUCGGCAGCAUUGUGAGAAUCUUAAUGCGCGGUAUGAUAAGAAUUUUGUCAAAGGUGUGUGCGCUAUUGAAAAGAUGCCCGGUAUAUCAGUGUUCACGCAUGGCCAACUUUAUGUUGCUGUAAAUCGGUUUACCAGUCGACGCGGUCUUAAAAUUUUCGUUGAUGAUAGCAGUGGACACAAUACAAAUAUAACUGAUAAUGUUGUGUUUAAGGAAGUGUUCUACCAUAUACGUGUAACAUAGUAUAUAAAUGUCCGAUAGAUUGUCGGUAGUUUUUAAGCAUAUUUUGUUAGGCAGAAUCCGGUCAACUAUUUUAUACAAGGACCACUUUUCUAUA